GUGGGGAAUUUUUGGCAAUGGGGGAAACCCUGACCAAGCAACGCCGCGUGGAGGAUGAAGGCCUUCGGGUCGUAAACUCCUGUCGGAGGGGACGAAUGCGCCUGGGAUGAAUAACUCCGGGUGUUGACGGUACCCUAUGAGGAAGCCCCGGCUAACUCCGUGCCAGCAGCCGCGGUAAUACGGGGGGGGCAAGCGUUGUUCGGAAUUACUGGGCGUAAAGGGCGCGUAGGCGGCCGAGUUUGUCCCUCGUGAAAUCCCACGGCUCAACCGUGGAACUGCGGGGGAAACGGCUCGGCUUGAGUCCGGGAGAGGAGAGUGGAAUUCCCAGUGUAGCGGUGAAAUGCGUAGAUAUUGGGAGGAACACCGGUGGCGAAGGCGGCUCUCUGGACCGGUACUGACGCUGAGGCGCGAAAGCUAGGGGAGCAAACGGGAUUAGAAACCCCUGUAGUCC
rnacentral:rRNA from 1 species